AGAAGCAGAAGAAGAAGAAAGAGAGAAGCAGAAAGCGUAGAUAGCGACAAAAGCAUGGUAAGAUCAGAUCUUUUGUUUCGUUUUACCUAUUUCCCCCAAAUAAAAAUGCAAAUUGUAUAAAGCAAAGAUCCAAAAACAAAAGAAAACAAAACUGAAUGAACUUUAAAAUUAAAAAAAAAACAUGUCUAUCUCCCUUUUUGACAUUCAUUUUGUGCUAUCCAAGCAGUCAAAGAAGAAGACGAAACAUAAGUUUAAUUGAAAAACAAAAGAGAUGAUGAAAAAGAGUCCCCAAGUGGGGCGAAAACUAGGUUAAGACUUAGCGAAAAAAAAAACAAAAAGUAAAACUAAAAAAAACUAAAGAAUAUAAGAAAAAUUGCAGUACGCAGCAGAUUCAGUAGCUCUAGAGAUCUAAAAAAAAACAAUGGAAAAUAAGCGAAAGCGAAAGAAUACGAUGCAAGAAGAGUGGAAGUAGAUGUAAAAGUAGAAGUGGAAGUGAAAGUGAAGGUGAAGAAUGGAGAGAGGGAAGAGAAAAAUCUUGUACUAGUUUUUAGCAUAUUUUUUGUGCUCAUCAGUCGAUUUAAUGAAUGAAUUUUUUGUAGCUGUCUACAGUUUUUUACGUUUAACUGUUUUUUAGACAUAUUACUGAAGGUAAAAACCAAGUUAGGUAUAGUAUAUUUUUCUGCAAAAUGCAAGAGAAGAGAAGUAAAUGGAAGGGAGGAGAUAAAUGGACGAUUAGCAAGGAAACCAAGAGGCAAACACUUUAUAAAAGGGAAUAGCAAAAACCAACCAAACAGAACACACACAAAAAGUAGCAAAAACUAAAAAAAAAACAAAACAUGGAAAAUAAAUUUGAAAUUGUAGAACUGUAGUUUAGCUUUGUGAAAGAGUUGGAUGAGGAGGAGGAAAAGAAGACGAUUGGAUGGGAAAACCGAAAGGCAGAACGGUAGAAUGAGAGGAAUGAUGGAGUUUGGUUUUUUUGAAGAGUAAGCCAGAGUUAGGAUCAACAACCGAAAGAGAAGCAGAACAGAUAUAAAAAAAAAUAUUAAUGUUUAAUGAAGAAAAAAACAGGAGGGCGAAGCAGAAGCAGCAGUAAGAAAGAAGAACUACGUUUAGUGAAACUUAGUUAAUAAGCGAGGAUUUCUUUAGUCUUGUAAGCGUCUAUUAAGUAGAUUUUGGAGAAUGUAGAAUGGAGAUAGGAAAGUGGAAAAGCAAGUUUAGAAUUUAAAUUGAACACCUUUUCAGAGCCUAGCCUAUAUUUAUUUUCUUAAAACACCAACACAUGGACACAGACACACUAACACACAUUCAGACACAGACGCAGACAGACAUCCAUUGUAUUUGUGAUUUUUUUCGAAUUUUAAAAAACAAAGCAAAAGAAGAAGGAAAUAAGGAAGGAUGUGAGUGCAGCGGAUCCAAGUGGGGUCUGAGGGAUAGCCGGAUCUCGGACAGGGUUGCCAACUUGUAUUCGGAGACACACACACAGAGGAUCCCACACGCAUAGAGCAAACAACAUUCCUGAGCCAAGUCUUUGAAUUGAUUUGAUUUUCGUAUAUAAUGUGUAUGGGGAUUGCUAAAACGAUUUCUCGGUUUAGAGUUGUCAGGUCGCAACAACCGCAAGUUCACCUGCCUAUAUGUAGUCAUAAAUACACAUAUUAUAUAGACAUAACAUACAUACUAUAUACAAAAAGUAAGAAACACAACGCCAAAAGUCUUCCUAAGCCCAAAAACAAAACCUCAACAAAAUAUGCAAAUGUUAUUCUGUUUGGUUUCAUCUAACUACUUACUCGUAUGAUUAAUUUGCUUUUAGACUGACUACGAACUAAAAUUUAAAAAAAUUUAUGAAAACAACAAACGGACAUGCAGGAUGGACACACACGGACAUAUGUAAUACAGGCAUCGGGAAAAGUUUCUAGUGGAAGAGGGAGAAAGCGAGGGAUAACGGAAAAUAUUUUGCCAAAACAUUCCAAAAGCAAAGCAAUAAAAAUUAGAAAAUUCAAUGGAGAGGAUGCGGAUGCCUGCAUUUGUUGUCAUCGGCAGAAAAAUCACAAAUACAACAGCAAUAAAAAAAUCGAACGAAAUUAUUUUUGAAACUUUUUUCAAUUUCCUCACACUUCACAUACACAAACACACAUACUCGAACUCUCACACACACCACACACAAAGUGCAAUUUUUUUUCUAUAGGUUUUAUUGAUUUUACUUUCGUUAGCAGCAAACAACUUAAGCAAAUUGAGAAAGCAUUAAAAUCUAAGUUAGUUCCCACCCUAGAAAGGCAGAAAUUAAUUUAUGUUUUAGGGAAAGAAGAGAACGAGUCGAUGUAACGGAGGAGAGUAAGCUAGUAUAUAAGAUCACAGCAUUAGCGUGUAAGUUUAGCGAACCUAAGUACAGUGUUGACAGGCGCGAAUGAACGGAACAGAGCGAUAUAGCAGUUGGUCGACGAGGUAGGACAUAUGAUUUUUAGAGGGUAGUAAAAAGAGAAGCAGCGACAAGCGCCCCAUUAGCUGGUUAGUUAGAGAGCGACGACCGACACACACACACACACACAUUUAGCAAGUUGUAGUUUUUGUGUAGUUAGAGAAAGAGCUAGCGGGCGACAGAGCAGUGUUGAUAAACGCCACGCUGCACCGUGCCGCACAGUUUGAGGUUAGGUUUAAUUUUGGAAAAGGAGGAAUGGACAGCAAGAAAGAAAAUGGGUAAACAAUAAAAUCAAUCGACGAGAGCGGUGAUGGAGUAGUGAGUGUUCUAAUUUAAAACCUAUACUGAUUUCUUUUGUGUAUUCUACAAACUUGAAACUUGUUUGUGUUGCGUCUGUAUUUUGUUUUAAUUUAAUACGUUUUACUUUAGUUUUUUAACUAAUUUUAAGUAGUUAAUUUAUUAUUUGUCUUAAAAUCGCAGAGACCCCAUUCAAGAUACAAGAUUGCUUGGGUUUUUUCGCCCCACACCCACCCAUUGAAGACCUCUCUCUGGCAGAGGAGCGAACCGAUUAAAUUUGAAGCGAGUGUUGAAGUAAUUUUUAAAAUGCAAAAAAAUGUCUAGUGCGUAAAAUGGAAAAUUAAACACAACAAAAAUUUCAAUAAAAAACAAAAACAAACAAAUAAUUUACGGUUUUUUCGUGUGCGUGUUUUUCUAUCAGCGUUUACUUUUAUGUUUUCCGUUGCUGUUUUGUGUUUAUUUUCGAUGUGAUUUCGUACUAGUUAAAUGUUUGCUAUAUGGCCCGCACCCAACUAACCACAUCCCUAAAUCCCGCACCCAAUAGAUCCAAGUAAUAAAUUAAAUUAAUUAAAAUGUAUUGAAUUGAAUUGUGUUUUAAGAGGGAGUAGAGGAGGCACACUUUGUCGUCUUAGUCGUUGUUUAGAGGCGGAGCAGUGGCUGGCGAGGAGCGUGAGUGGCGAGGACGAGGAUAAAUAAACAUUUUUUAAUUAAGCCAAUUUAAGGAAAUGAUGAAUAUAUAUUUUUUUGAAACUUUUUUGACAAAACCAAGAAUAUAAACGAAACAAAAAGAGAAAAACCAAAUGAAAAUACAUAAAAGUAAAAUUACUCGUCAAAGGCAGCAAGGCAGCAGGAACGACACGACCGAAAGCUAGGCAAAAGAAACAAGCUCAUUAAACUUAAACAAAACAAAACACAUAAAACAAAAGUUUCGAUAGGGUGAGGGAUUACGCGUAAACGAGGCGAACCGUAGUUCUAGGAGGAGUAGGAAUGGAACAGAACACGACGACAAAGGCGUAAACUAACUUUAAGUAAACGUAAAAGGCAAGCAGCUAAUUAAACUUAGAACAGAAUAAUUAAAUGAGAGUAAUGUACAUUUCGCUUGUUGCUAUUUUUAAGUUUUAAAUCAAAGUCUUUUAAAGAACUUUAUUCAUUUUCUUAUUAACAAUGAUAAAAACCAAAAACCACAAAAAAAUUAAGCAAAGCAAAUGCGCAAAAAUAAAACGAAAAACUAUAUCUCUAAUUGUAAUUCUCCAGGAAAAGAAAACAAAAACUGAGGGAAGAACGAAUGCAAACGAAAACAUGAAUAAGAAUCCUUUUCAACUCUCUGUGUAUUUUUUAAGGUAUUAUUUUUUGCAUCAAUGUGACGCUUUUAAGCAUUUUUUAUAUGGCAAAAGAAUUGUAUCUAAAACUCUAGUAAAAGCUAAAGAAAACAUAAGGACAAAUGACAACAAGAAAAAUGCGAAAAUGCGACAUCUUUGCUACAACUUUCAAAUUUAUACGCGUACUUUUUGUGCCCUCAACUUUAAUGCAAAAAAUCAUACAUUGAAAAACUGAAUUGGAGAUCAAGAGAUACAGUUAAAAGAAUAUAAAAAAAACCAAAACAGAUCAAAUAAAGAAAAAUUAGUUUAAGCAUAACAUUUUGCAGCUUUUGUGCUUAUUUCGCUUAAGAAAAGUAAGACUAGUUGAACAAAGAAACCAAAAUUAAAUGAAGAAAAACAUUAAAUCUAAUUGUAAGUAAACAAAAAAGAAUACAAGAAACGAGAAUAGAUCAGUAUAGAACAGAACAGAAAAAGAAAGAGAAAAGAGGCAAGGAAGAAUCAAGCAAGAGCUAGGGAAAGGGCACUCUUAGCCCAAUGAGAGGCGAAGCAGCAGAAAGCGUUAAACCGAACAUAGCAAAAGAUUUAAACGAAGAAGAAGAACUCAUAAAAGUAAAAGAAGAAGAAAACGUCUCUUUGGUAAGAAAAAAAAAGAAAAACCUAAAACCUAAAGAGCAAAAGCUGUCAUCCAAAACCAGAAAAAAAAUGAAACUGAACUUUUUCUGAAUCAAUAAAAAAUUGAUUUUCUGUAAGAAAACAAAAUCCAGAUGCACUUUUUACUUCAGCAGCAAAAAAAAAUUAAUUUCCAAAUUAUAUUUUCCAACUUCGUUAUCGUAACAGAGAUUUUUAUGGCGAACGACAGUCCUGCGAUCCUUGGAAAAUGGAGUCCCGUUGAACCCGGCCAACGCCUGCAUUUGCUACAUUGUCAUUAAUAUGAGUCAAUAUAUGUACUUCGUGUGCGAAUUAAUCUGCGCGGCCAUCUUGAAGAUCUUGCCCAGGUGCAUGGGCAUCAACGACGACGACGACUAGAGAGCCCUGCACUUCCAUGAAAUUUGCGUGCCAAUCGAUCAAGGACAUUUUUUCGAUCAUGAGAAUCCGUUUUACCCCCAGGGGUGCAUUCUGAUUUUCAGCAGGGACAAUAAGGAUAAUGAAUUUUUUACGUUCCACUUUAGAUUAUUUUUAUAUGUACAUAGGUUUUAAAUUAAAAACAAAUUGUUUGUUGAAUGAGUUGGAUAAU